GAUGAAGAACGUAGUGAAAUGCGAUAAGUAAUGUGAAUUGCAGAACUCAGUGAAUCAUCGAAUCUUUGAACGCACAUUGCGCCCGCCAGCACUCUGGCGGGCAUGCCUGUCCGAGCGUCAUUUCAACCCUCGCGCCGUCCCUCCAGGGGGCUCGGCGCGGUGUUGGGGGACUCGGCCCCGGCCGCCCCCGAAAUGCAGUGGCGACCCCGCCGCGGCCCCUCCAGCGCAGUAAGCACGCUCGCUACGGGAGGCCCGGUGGACGCGUCCGCCGUAAAACGCCCAACUCUUCAGAAGUUGACCUCGGAUCAGGUAGGGAUACCCGCUGAACUUAAGCAUAUCAAUAAGCGGAGGA
rnacentral:misc_RNA from 1 species